UUAGGGUUCUUAGCCUCUCUCUUUCUCUCUCUAGGAUUUGGAGCCCAAGAGAGCUUGGUUUGGUAGUUUCGGCUUCUUCGACUUCUUCUCCUUGCGCCUGCAGGUUGGGAGGCUGUAGUAGUGUUCUCUUGCUGAAAGGGAACAGUAGGAAAGAGGUUCCUGCAGCCCAAAUCAGUUAGCAACUGAUUUGCUUCAAGCAGGUCUUUGAGCCUCUUCGAGUUGAACGUGUACUUUUGAAAGCUGAUUUGAAGAGUAUUCGAAUCAAGGCGAGAUUUCAAUCGAGUCUUGGAUCAUCUUCAGUUGGCAUUGGAGAGCAAUUGGAGGCUUAAUUUGAGGU